rnacentral:rRNA from 1 species
UACGUAGGGCGCAAGCGUUGUCCGGAUUUAUUGGGCGUAAAGAGCUCGUAGGCGGUCUGUCGCGUCGGCUGUGAAAACCCGAGGCUCAACCUCGGGCCUGCAGUCGAUACGGGCAGACUAGAGUGCGGUAGGGGAGACUGGAAUUGCUGGUGUAGCGGUGAAAUGCGCAGAUAUCAGGAGGAACACCGGUGGCGAAGGCGGGUCUCUGGGCCGUAACUGACGCUGAGGAGCGAAAGCGUGGGGAGCGAACAGG